rnacentral:lncRNA from 1 species
UGGAAAAAGCAUUCUCUUUAUAUGAUAACUAUCAAGCCGUUUAGAAUAGUUUUCUACUUUGCAUGCUGAAAUAAGGGGAAAAAUAUUUUGUGGAUUAUUAUAAUGGGGUAACAGUUGAGAAAAUGUCAUAUUUUAUAAGGAUGAGGAGUAAAACUUGGGAAAACAAUAUUACUGUAUGAUUUACAGGAAACUUUUUUCUUCUUAAGCUAAUUUAGGGCUUUUGCCCUCUGCUUUAGGUAAAACAAACAACUAUUGCUUGCUCUGUUUAUUUUGUGUCUGGAUGCUGGCAUGCUGCUGGACCAUACACAGCUGAAUGCCAGAAGACAAGAACUGUGGAGAAAGUGUGCACUUUCUUUUGGACAAAUUGCAAAUCUGACAUGGGUCUUGACAUUGUAAGAUCUGCUCUUUGCAGCUCUGAGGACAGAGAAGCCUCAGAUCUGAGUUCAGGAAAAGUGCAAACUGACAUGCAAUUGUUUUAGAAAAAAAUUAUAUGAAAGAGCCAGCCAGAAUUUGACUCUGAAGAGACUAAGAUUUAAACUUUGCAUGCAUAUUCAACUUUUAUUAACAGGAAGCAUAUUAGAAAUUAACAAUGCAUGCAUAAUUAAUGUGCAUUUUUUACAGGUUAAUUAUUGGGUACAAAUUGAAACGCCAGUGUACUGUCCUGUAAACUGCAUCGUUUUGCUGAAAAAUGUAGAAGCUGGAAAAGUGCUGUACAAGAGUGUGCAGAUGCUGCAGGUGCCAGCUGUUACUAUAAUCCUGAGAGAUGUGAUUGAAAGGCCUGUGCAGAAUGAGCUGGAAGGUUCUAAACCAUUAAGUUACAAUAAGAUGAUGCCAGGAACUUGCAUGUGGAUGAAGACAGGAGAGUGA